rnacentral:lncRNA from 1 species
GUCGGCCUGCGCUGCUCGGAGCUUCCGGAGCACCCAGGCUGAGCCGCGCCCGCCGCAACCACCUAGAAGAAGCCCAGCCUGGCCCUGGCACACGGUGAACCUUAAUCGAGCCCCAGUGACAAAAAGAAAGAGAAGCUGGGCUUAACUAUACCAGAAUUCACGGCAGGGCGAUGUCAGCCAUGUUUCCUGAGCCUAUCAACCACCGCCACCAGCAUCACCAACAAUAUCUACCAGUUUUUACAGAUUUUAGUGAAGAAAUCCUACAGUAAAAGAUUUUGAAAAAUGACUUUCCCCAAUGUAUCUCUUGA